AACGCACAUUGCGCCCGCUGGUAUUCCAGCGGGCAUGCCCGUUCGAGCGUCAUUUUAAUCCCUUCCCGGGAGACUCUUCUAUUCUGUAGUGGAGUCCCACGGGGCGUUGGCACUGGGCGCCUCAUUCUUAGGCGGCCGGAGCCGAAAUGAAGCGGCGGACUCGCGGCGGCCCCUAGCGCAGUAGAACAACCCUUCUCGCUUAGGAGAGCUGCAGCGGCGGACCACAGCCCUACAUGCAAGCUUUUUUAAAAAAAGCUACAUAUUAAAAAACUUGACCUCGGAUCGGGUAGGACUACCCGCUGAACUUAA
rnacentral:misc_RNA from 1 species